CAUUGUAAUUUGUAGAGGAUGCUUUGGGGCAGCCGCCUGUCUAAGUUCCUUGGAACAGGACGUCAUAGAGGGUGAGAAUCCCGUAUGUGACAGGACAUGGCACCCUAUGUAAAGCUCCUUCGACGAGUCGAGUUGUUUGGGAAUGCAGCUCUAAAUGGGAGGUAAAUUUCUUCUAAAGCUAAAUACCGGCGAGAGACCGAUAGCGCACAAGUAGAGUGAUCGAAAGAUGAAAAGCACUUUGGAAAGAGAGUUAAAAAGCACGUGAAAUUGUUGAAAGGGAAGCGCUUGCAAUCAGACUUGUUUAAACUGUUCGGCCGGUCUUCUGACCGGUUUACUCAGUUUGGACAGGCCAGCAUCAGUUUCGGCGGCCGGAUAAAGGCCCUAGGAAUGUGACCCCCUCUUCGGAGGGG
rnacentral:rRNA from 1 species